rnacentral:rRNA from 1 species
GAGGAAUUUUGCGCAAUGGGCGAAAGCCUGACGCAGCAACGCCGCGUGAGUGAUGAAGGAUUUCGGUUCGUAAAGCUCUGUCAAGUGGGAAGAACCUGUAUAUUGUUAAUAGCAGUAUGCACUGACGGUACCA